rnacentral:lncRNA from 1 species
UUUUGGGGGUUUUAAAUCAGCACACGCAGCUUGCGGCAUCGGACUUCCACGGAGUUUCUUUGAAAUCGGCCUUCAUGUGGUGGUCGCCACAGGGGGGAACCGGCCGUGUCCAGAUGGUUGGGGGCCAUCUGAACCGCUAGAAGGUUUUAGCCAGCGUGCUACCAUCCUCCAGUCUUACCUGGCUACCUUUGACCAUCUAGACCACAGAAUUAAAAGAUGGUUCAAGA